UACGUAGGUGGCAAGCGUUGUCCGGAUUUACUGGGCGUAAAGAGCGCGCAGGCGGUCGUUCAAGUCGCGUGUGAAAGCCCCCGGCUCAACUGGGAGGGUCACGCGAUACUGAUCGACUCGAAGGCAGGAGAGGGUAGUGGAAUUCCCGGUGUAGUGGUGAAAUGCGCAGAUAUCAGGAAGAACACCCGUGGCGAAGGCGGCUCUCUGGGACGGUACUGACGCUGAGACGCGAAAGCGUGGGGAGCGAACAGG
rnacentral:rRNA from 1 species